rnacentral:ribozyme from 1 species
ACCAUAAUAUCCUGCUAACGGGGUAGAAUAUGAAGUCGCUUAAAGGUUACACAGGCUCUCCUACUCAACCCUUAUUCCCCCUAGCAUCCUCGUCGUGCAGAGCGGCAACUUGAACCAUCGCAUAUCCAAGCUUGGGUACGCGGGUUAGUUCCCCUUGGGCGGAUGGUGGUGUAUGAUUAAACAGGAGGGA